ensembl:snoRNA
AGGUCUUGUUCGUGGCUUGUUAGUCGUGGCUAAGGCGUUCCAUGCCGGGGCUGCGGCAGCCCCAGCGGCACGUGACUGACUGACUCGUGGCUCUCGGCUUCAGGUCCUGGGGACGCAG